rnacentral:lncRNA from 10 species
GUCGCGCGUCACGUCGCGCGAGAUGCCGGGCUCCUCCCGCGCUGCUCUUAGACCCGUUGACGGCGGCCGAGAGAGGAGCAGAAAGUGUGGUCUGUGGGGCUGCCUGACACCUGGUAGGCGCUCGGGCCGCUCUUGUGGGGCUGCGCCCUGGCGCUGCAGGGCUGAAUGUUAUACCCCUGAGAGAGGCCGUUGCGGGAGCGCAACGAGCUGCAGGCCUCUGGAGCUUCGGCGCCGACUUCUUCGACAUCAGGGUCUUCUUCUGUGGACCAGGCUAGAGUGCAGUGGCGUGAUCUCGGCUCACUGCAGCCUCCAUGUCCCGGGUUCAAGCGAGUCUCGUGCCUCAGCUUCCGAGUAG